rnacentral:rRNA from 1 species
CGGUGGAGUAUGUGGUUUAAUUCGACGCAACACGAAAAACCUUACCUGGGCUCGAACGGCUGGAAUAAGCCCGAUGAAAGUGGAACUAGAACCGCGAGGUGUGACGAGCGCAACCCCCAUUGUCUGUUGCCACCGGGACGUCAAAUACCAUGGCCCUUAUGUCCAGGCUACAUACAUGGCCGGCACACGGGACGCAAUGGAGCAAUCCGGAGCCUCCUUUAAAACUGGCCUCAGUUCAGAUUGUGGUGCAACUCGCCCACAUGAAGGUGGAAUCGCUAGUAAUCGGAAUCAGAAGGUCGCGGUGAAUACGUUCCCGGGUCUUGUACACACCGCCGUCACACCACGAAAGCCCGCUGCAACAGAAGUACUCGCUUCGGCGAGUCCGAAGUGUGGCUGGUGAUUGGGGUGAAGUCGUACAAGGU